rnacentral:rRNA from 1 species
AGAGUUUGAUCCUGGCUCAGAUUGAACGCUGGCGGCAUGCCUUACACAUGCAAGUCGAACGGCAGCACGGGUGCUUGCACCUGGUGGCGAGUGGCGAACGGGUGAGUAAUAUAUCGGAACGUACCUUAUCGUGGGGGAUAACGCAGCGAAAGCUGCGCUAAUACCGCAUACGCCCUGAGGGGGAAAGCGGGGGACCGUAAGGCCUCGCGCGAUUAGAGCGGCCGAUAUCUGAUUAGCUUGUUGGUGGGGUAAAAGCCCACCAAGGCGACGAUCAGUAGCUGGUCUGAGAGGACGAUCAGCCACACUGGGACUGAGACACGGCCCAGACUCCUACGGGAGGCAGCAGUGGGGAAUUUUGGACAAUGGGGGCAACCCUGAUCCAGCAAUGCCGCGUGAGUGAAGAAGGCCUUCGGGUUGUAAAGCUCUUUUGUCAGGGAAGAAACAGCAGCUCUAACACAGUCUGCGAAUGACGGUACCUGAAGAAUAAGCACCGGCUAACUACGUGCCAGCAGCCGCGGAAAUACGUAGGGUGCAAGCGUUAAUCGGAAUUACUGGGCGUAAAGCGUGCGCAGGCGGUUAUACAAGACAGGCGUGAAAUCCCCGGA